rnacentral:misc_RNA from 1 species
CCACCCUCAGGCCCUGCCUGGUGUUGGGGGCCUGCGCCUGCAGCCCCUGAAAGACAGCGGCGGUCCCGUGUCUAGGUCCCGAGCGUAGUAUCUCACCUCGCUCCGGGCGCCUGGCGGGCUCCGGCCGUAAGCCAUACUUUACAA